GACGAACGCUGGCGGCGUGCUUAACACAUGCAAGUCGAACGGAAAGGCCCUGCUUUUGUGGGUUGCUCGAGUGGCGAACGGGUGAGUAACACGUGAGUAUCCUGCCCUUGACUUUGGGAUAACUUCAGGAAACUGGGGCUAAUACCGGAUAGGAGCUCCUGCUGCAUGGUGGUGGUUGGAAAGUUUCGGCGGUUGGGGCUGGACUCGCGGCUUAUCAGCUUGUUGGUGGGGUAGUGGCUUACCAAGGCUUUGACGGGUAGGCGGCCUGAGAGGGGUACCGGCCACAUGGGGACUGAGAUACGGAGCAGACGCCUACGGGAGGCAGCAGGGGGGAAUAUUGCACAAUGGGCGGAAGACUGAUGCAGCAACGCCGCGUGCGGGAUGACGGCCUUCGGGUUGUAAACCGCUUUCGCAUGUGACGAAGCGUGAGUGACGGUAAUGGGUAAAGAAGCACCGGCUAACUACGUG
rnacentral:rRNA from 1 species